UCACUGUGAAGACAGUGGAGUGUCUAUC
rnacentral:piRNA from 1 species